GUGCCAGCAGCCGCGGUAAUACAUAGGGGUCAAGCGUUGUCCGGAUUUAUUGGGCGUAAAGAGCUCGUAGGCGGUUCAACAAGUCGGUCGUAAAAGUUUAGGGCUCAACCCUAAAAUGUCGAUCGAUACUGUUGUGACUAGGAUACGGUAGAGGUGAAUGGAAUUCCGAGUGUAGCGGUGAAAUGCGUAGAUAUUCGGAGGAACACCAAUUGCGAAGGCAGUUCACUGGACCGUGAUCGACGCCGAGUCGCGAAAGCUAGGGGUGCAAGCAGGUUUAUGCA
rnacentral:rRNA from 1 species